rnacentral:lncRNA from 1 species
AUGAAAUUUAUUCAGUCUUUCUCAAGUUCUAUAUUUUUUGUUUUUUUACUCUAUUUUGUGUUUUCUGUCUUUUUUUCCAAAGGUCAUUUAUUUUCUUGUCUUUGUACAUUUUCUGAUUUGAGUAUAAUGCUUUCGGUUUUUCCCUUCUUCCAGCACCAGCAGACGUUUCUGAAUCAACUACGAGAAAUUACAGGGAUUAAUGAUGCCCAGAUUCUACAGCAAGCCUUGAAGGAUAGUAAUGGAAACUUGGAGCUAGCAGUGGCUUUCCUUACUGCAAAGAAUGCCAAGACCCCUCAGCAGGAGGAGACCACUUACUACCAAACAGCGCUUCCUGGCAAUGACAGAUACAUCAGUGUGGGCAGCCAAGCAGAUACAAGAAAAAAACAGUAUAUGCCCACCAGAACAAGAUGUGCUACAAUUGAGCAAUCAAAGUAUGGAUCGAAAGAUAAGAGGGAUUUGGAUGUGAUUGAUCUUACUGGAGAUGAUAAAGAUGAUCUUCAGAGAGCAAUUGCCUUGAGUUUGGCGGAAUCAAACAGGGCAUUCAGGGAGACUGGAAUAACUGAUGAGGAACAAGCCAUUAGCAGAGUUCUUGAGGCCAGCAUAGCAGAAAAUAAAGAAUGUUUGAAGAGGACACCUACUGAAGUUUGGAGAGAUUCUCGAAACCCUUACGAUAGAAAAAGGCAGGACAAAGCUCCUGUUGGACUAAAGAAUGUUGGCAAUACUUGCUGGUUUAGUGCUGUUAUUCAGUCAUUAUUCAAUCUUUUGGAAUUCAGAAGAUUAGUUCUGAAUUACAAGCCUCCAUCAAAUGUUCAAGAUUUACCCCGAAACCAAAAGGAGCAUCGGAAUUUGCCUUUCAUGCGUGAGCUUCGAUAUCUAUUUGCACUUCUUGUUGGUACUAAAAGGAAAUAUGUUGAUCCAUCUAGAGCAGUUGAGAUUCUUAAAGAUGCUUUCAAAUCAAAUGACUCCCAGCAGCAAGACGUGAGUGAGUUUACACACAAAUUAUUAGAUUGGUUAGAAGAUGCCUUCCAAAUGAAAGCUGAAGAAGAGACGGAUGAAGACAAGCCAAAGAACCCCAUGGUAGAGCUGUUCUAUGGAAGAUUCCUAGCUGUGGGAGUGCUUGAAGGUAAAAAAUUUGAAAAUACUGAAAUGUUUGGUCAGUACCCACUUCAGGUCAAUGGAUUCAAAGAUCUACAUGAAUGCCUAGAAGCUGCUAUGAUUGAAGGAGAAAUUGAGUCUUUACAUUCAGAAAAUUCAGGAAAAUCCGGUCAAGAGCAUUGGUUUACUGAACUACCACCUGUGUUAACAUUUGAAUUGUCAAGAUUUGAAUUUAAUCAGGCACUGGGAAGACCAGAAAAAAUUCACAAUAAAUUAGAAUUUCCUCAAGUUUUAUAUCUGGACAGAUACAUGCAUAGAAACAGAGAAAUAACAAGAAUUAAGAGGGACGAGAUCAAGAGGCUAAAAGAUUACCUCACAGUAUUACAACAAAGACUUGAAAGAUAUUUAAGCUAUGGUUCGGGUCCCAAACGGUUUCCCUUGGUGGAUGUUCUGCAGUACGCCUUGGAAUUUGCCUCAAGUAAACCUGUUUGCACUUCUCCUGUUGAUGAUAUUGAUGCUAGUUCCCCAUCUAGUGGUUCCGUACCAUCACAGACAUUACCAAGCACAACAGACCAACAGGGAGCUCCUUCUUCAGAACUGCCAAGCACGUCACCCGUGUCAAUAGCUGCCAUUUCAUCAAGAUCAGUAAUACACAAACCAUUCACUCAGUCCCGGAUACCUCCAGACUUGCCCAUGCAUCCGGCACCAAGGCACAUAACAGAAGAAGAACUCUCUGUGCUGGAAAGCUGUUUACAUCGCUGGAGGACAGAAAUAGAAAAUGACACCAGAGAUUUACAGGAAAGCAUAUCUAGAAUCCAUCGCACAAUUGAGCUAAUGUACUCUGACAAAUCUAUGAUCCAAGUUCCUUAUCGUUUACAUGCUGUUUUAGUUCAUGAAGGUCAAGCUAAUGCCGGGCACUACUGGGCAUACAUUUUUGAUCAUCGUGAAAACAGGUGGAUGAAGUACAAUGAUAUUGCUGUAACAAAAUCAUCGUGGGAAGAGCUAGUGAGAGAUUCUUUUGGUGGUUACAGAAAUGCCAGUGCAUACUGUUUAAUGUACAUAAAUGACAAACCACAAUUCUUAAUACAAGAGGAGUUUAAUAAAGAAACUGGGCAGGCCCUUGCUGGAAUAGAAACACUACCCCCCGACUUAAGAGAUUUUGUUGAGGAAGACAACCAGCGAUUUGAGAAAGAACUAGAAGAAUGGGAUGCACAACUUGCUCAGAAAGCCUUGCAGGAAAAACUUCUAGCAUCUCAGAAACUGAGAGAGUCUGAGUCUUCUGUGACAACAGCACAAGCAGGAGAACCAGAAUAUCUAGAGCAGCCAUCAAGAAGUGAUUUCUCAAAGCACUUGAAAGAAGAAACCAUUCGAAUAAUUACCAAGGCAUCACAUGAGCAUGAAGAUAAAAGUCCUGAAACAGUUUUGCAGUCGGCAAUUAAGUUGGAAUAUUCAAGGUUGGUUAAAUUGGCCCAAGAAGAUACCCCACCAGAAACAGACUAUCGUUUACAUCAUGUAAUAGUCUACUUUAUCCAGAAUCAGGCUCCAAAGAAAAUCAUUGAGAAAACAUUGCUAGAACAAUUUGCAGAUAGAAAUUUGAGUUUUGAUGAAAGGUGUCACAACAUAAUGAAAGUUGCUCAAGCCAAAAUUGAAAUGAUAAAACCUGAAGAAGUAAACAUGGAGGAGUAUGAGGAGUGGCAUCAGGAUUAUAGAAAAUUCAGGGAAACAACCAUGUAUAUCAUUAUUGGGCUAGAAAAUUUUCAAAGAGAAAGUUAUAUAGAUUCCUUGCUAUUCCUUAUCUGUGCUUAUCAGAAUAACAAGGAACUGUUGUCCAAAGGCCCAUACAGAGGACAUGAUGAAGAACUGAUAUCACAUUAUAGAAGAGAAUGUUUACUAAAAUUAAAUGAGCAAGCUGCAGAACUGUUUGAAUCUGGAGAGGAUAGAGAAGUAAACAAUGGUCUGAUUAUCAUGAAUGAAUUUAUUGUCCCGUUUUUGCCCCUGUUAUUGGUGGAUGAAAUGGAAGAGAAAGACAUACUUGCUGUAGAAGAUAUGAGAAAUCGAUGGUGUUCCUAUCUUGGACAAGAAAUGGAAUCAAACCUCCAAGAGAAGCUGACAGAUUUUCUGCCAAAGCUGCUCGAUUGUUCUACGGAGGUUAAAGGUUUCCAUGAGCCGCCUAAGUUACCUCCGUACUCCACACAUGAACUCUGUGAGCGAUUUACCCGAAUCAUGCUGUCCCUCAGUCGAACUCCUGCUGAUGGAAGAUAAACUGCACAUACU